UACGAAGGGAGCUAGCGUUACUCGGAAUUACUGGGCGUAAAGCGUGCGUAGGCGGUUUAGAAAGUUGAAAGUGAAAGCCCGGGGCCUAACCCCGGAACUGCUUUCAAAACUACUAGACUAGAGUAUUGAAGGGGAUAGCGGAAUUCCUAGUGUAGAGGUGAAAUUCGUAGAUACUAUGAGGAACACCGGAGGCGAAGGCGGCUAUCUGGUCAAAUACUGACGCUGUUGCACGAAAGCGUGGGGAGCAAACAGG
rnacentral:rRNA from 1 species